UCCUAACUACUCCCUCGCAAUUUUCUCCACCUCUCCUGAUCGUGUAGUCCACACCCGUCCUCAUUCCCCCCAUCUCUCCCGAGCCGGCGCCUGCACGUUUUCCUCUCCCAUCCAUCCCUCUCACCUCCCCCCGCCUCUCUCCAACGAUCUCUCGACCGUCGCGGCAGAGCCGGCACCUAACUAGCCCACCUCUACCUCAACGUGUGGGCAGAGCCGGCGCGCGCCUACCAUAGAUCCGAUGGCCUUGAGCUCCACCAUCACCAACAGGGGCGGCAAUGACGGAGGACUGACGGGAUCUGGUGGCCUGAGCACGAUGGUAUCCAUGAGUAGAGGUCGGCCAUCAGAUCUGGUGUAGGCUCAUCUCGGGCCGGCAGCCACGCAGAUUCGGUUGUACGAACUUCUCGCAGCUCACACGGUAGCUGACCUCGAGCUUGACUAGUGAUCGGAGUUGGACUAUGCAGAGUUGGCACCCCUGCAUUGACGACUUGGACGUCCGUCGUCGUCGAGCUCCAGCAAACUUCAUCUUCCUCUGUGGUGAGCUAGACAAUGUCGACUGCACGCUUGCCGACAGUGGCCUCAACGACGGAGCCAUCAUGGUAACUGGUAAGAAUCUCUUUGAUGUGCAUAGUUGGCCUACAUUCUCUCAUAGCGGUUAGUGUGAAUGCCACUCUUGUUGAUUUUUGUCCUCUGAAUUUGAAAAAUACAAGAACGUGUGUCACUUUGUUUGCUCACGUUUGGCACUGAGCCCGUAUCUUUGUGCUUAGAUUUGUAAUGAGCAUUUAGGUGUACUCACGUUUGAAAGGUGCUACUGCAUAAGCAUUUCUGAUGGCUUUUAGCCACCGUCAAAUUAUUUUAGGUAGCCUGAAACUGUUGCUGAACAUGACAUUAUCUAUGACUUAGUAAGGGAGGGGGAAUCCUUGACCUGCAGAUGCAUGAGUUGAAGCGUACUUUAUAUACUAAUGUCAAAUAUCCUUCGAUUAUAAGAACUGUACUUGAACGUCCAUACUGCAAUAACUAUACUCUGAACGCAUACUAUAGUAAGGGAACUUGUGCUUAGGUGCCAUUUUUCUUGUGGGCAUCUGGCAUCUCUACCGUAUGAGCUAAUUUUUAAUGUAUAUACAUAUGAUUUUUUUGCUGCAGGUUUUGCCAUAGCUUGUUAAUCAUAUUAAUAUUCACCUGUGCAUGCUGACCUCUUCAACUUUCAUUAUUUUGUUGACAUAUUUGUGUUGUUCCCUAAUGCGGAUCAUGAAUUAUGGUGAAACUGUAGCAAGUUGAUGUCUUUUGAAGAAGUGUAUUUCUGAAGCUUAGUGUGAAGACUUCACAAUCUUAUUUUGUUUCUCUAGAUAAUAUAUACAAUGUAACUAGAAGCUAGUUAUAUUCUCAUUUACUUGUUCCAUUGUCUCAGAAUUUCAAUGUAUUAAUGCAUUUUUCUAUUUUGUUUGUGUUA